rnacentral:rRNA from 1 species
GAUGAACGCUCGCUACAGGCUUAACACAUGCAAGUCGAGGGGAAACGACAUCGAAAGCUUGCUUUUGAUGGGCGUCGACCGGCGCACGGGUGAGUAACGCGUAUCCAACCUGCCCAUCACUUGGGAAUAACCUUGCGAAAGUAAGACUAAUACCCAAUGACAUCCCACGAAGACAUCUGAAUGGGAUUAAAGAUUUAUCGGUGAUGGAUGGGGAUGCGUCUGAUUAGCUUGUUGGCGGGGUAACGGCCCACCAAGGCAACGAUGAGUAGGGGUUCUGAGAGGAAGGUCCCCCACAUUGGAACUGAGACACGGUCCAAACUCCUACGGGAGGCAGCAGUGAGGAAUAUUGGUCAAUGGGCGAGAGCCUGAACCAGCCAAGUAGCGUGCAGGAGGACGGCCCUAUGGGUUGUAAACUGCUUUUAUAAGGGAAUAAAGUGGGUCUCGUGAGACUUUUUGCAUGUACCUUAUGAAUAAGGACCGGCUAAUUCCGUG